UACGAAGGGGGCUAGCGUUGCUCGGAUUUACUGGGCGUAAAGGGCGCGUAGGCGGAUAGUUAAGUUGGGGGUGAAAGCCCGGGGCUCAACCUCGGAAUUGCCUUCAAUACUGGCUAUCUUGAGUGUGAGAGAGGUGUGUGGAACUCCGAGUGUAGAGGUGAAAUUCGUAGAUAUUCGGAAGAACGCCAGUGGCGAAGGCGACACACUGGCUCACUACUGACGCUGAGGCGCGAAAGCGUGGGGAGCAAACAGG
rnacentral:rRNA from 1 species